GCUACUGAAAUUCCUAUACGAACAAAAGCUUCCCCACUCUGUGGAAGAGGCAUUUGUCGGUCAAGGAAAAAAAACCUCGAUCUGCUAUUCCCCCCAAAUUCCCAAAUUGCCCGCUCCAUUCCUUCUUUUUGAUUUGCUCUGUUAGAUUUUCAAAUUUAAUGCUGCUGUUAGCUUCCCCACUGAUCAGUCGAAGAUCCUCUUAGCAGAUUGGGUCGUUCUGAUCUGCGUCGAACUCAGUACAAGUUUGGGCUUCAUAGAAGAUUCCAAGAUUUGUUAUUGCUUUGGUGAUAUACUCAACCUUCACGAAGGCCCGUUGGUACCCUUACCCUGUUAUCAACCAUGAUGAGCGAAGUUAUUAAGAACCUCAUGAAUAAUAACUCUGAAGAAGAGACAUGGAGCUGGGAGGCGCGUGAUAUUCUACUAGAUACGUGGACUACCCUUCUCGUGCCAGUGAAUAGGAAUAGUGGAAUGCGUUGCUUCCACCUGAAGGAAGAAGUGUCGCAACAAAUCUCUUUGCCUUAAUUGUGGAGUCUGAGCUAAGACGUAACUUUUUUGAUAUGUCACCUUCGCUUCUGCUCUGGUUCAGCAAUCACACUUGUUUGUUUUCUUGUAUUAUCAUCCAAUAACAGUUGGUCCUUUGUGGCGUAGCUGCUUCUGCAUCUGCAUUUAACGACGAUGUCGACUCGAGCUACCUUCAGGCUUCCAUUUCUGGUUGAGCUCUGCGAGAGCAGCAAGUGAGGUGACAAUCUUUUUCUCACUGAGGUGUUUGCUAAGGGCUUUGCUUGGAUUGCUCAGGGCAGGGGCGUCGUUGAUCACACUGAAUGUCUGGAAGAGCUGUACUCAUUAUUACUCAUCACUGGCCAUGUAAUUGCUGAUGAAGGGUUCUGAACGUCAUACAAACCCCGUUUUCUGAUAUUUUGGAGGCAGAGAAGCAUCUCGUUAUUAUAUUGUUUCUCUAUCAGCAGACUAGAUAAUUCAUUCUAUGUAGGAAAUUAGAGCUUGCCUACAUCCUAUUAACUCGACCUUUGUAAUGGAAAAGUAAUAAUAAGCUUUUGAAGAGUGUUCAAACGUCAGAUUAUCCAAAUUUCUAACCUCUUGCUGGACUUUGCAAUAUUUUAGUCAUUUACUUGUCCAUCUCCACAUGUCACUGUUUUACAAAAUCCAUGUUGUACAAGAAGUCUGCAUGCAGGUCUCAUUGUGUCACAUCACGUUUUUGUUUAUACCCACGUGCUAAACUUUUUUUUUAAAAAAAAAUGCUAUGCAUUUUGAUUUUUUUUCCUUGUCAUUUUCUGUAGCCAAAGUACGUAGAUACUGUAUAGUAAUUUGUUUGCUAAAAGGAACUAAUUUAUGUCUGCUAUUACAAUUUUAUCCAGCUCAAUCAUAAAAUUUCUUGAGCAGAGUUUAAAUCCAGAAAUGAGAGAAUUGCUGUUCAGUCCCCGAGUUAUGGAGGUCAAUAGUUGCUUUGUUGGAGGAGAUGGCCUUUUUGUUGGAGCAUUUUGUCAAGAUGGGUUAUUUACUUAACCAUUUCAUUUGGCUAGACAUUUUGGAUACUUUGAUAUAUUUAGUUAUUUCUCUAUAUUCUUGACUUGUUUUAAUGUUAAA